ACGGGGUGCAGCAGGCGCGAAAACUUGACAAUGCGAGAAAUCGUGAUCAGGGAACUCCAAGUGGACCAGUUAUUACUGGUUUCUGAACCGACUCUAAAUAGGUCGGGUAAUAGGGGCGGGAAAUAUCGGUGCCAGCCGCCGCGGUAAUACCGAAGCCCCAAGUGGUCGUNGAUCUUAUUGGGCCUAAAACGUCCGUAGCCGGUUUGGUACAUUCGUGGGUAAAUCAGACAGCUUAACUGUCUGAAUUCUGCGAGGACGGCCAAACUUGAGACCGGGAGAGGUGUAGGGUACCUGCGGGGUAGGGGUAAAAUCCUGUCAUCCCGUAGGGACCACCAGUUGCGAAGGCUCUACACUAGAACGGAUCUGACGGUCAGGGACGAAGCCUAGGGGCACGAACCGGAUUAGAUACCCGGGUAGUCCUAGGUGUAAACGCUGUGGACUUUGUGUCGGGGGUCUUUCGAGGACUCUCGGUGCCGGAGUGAAGAUGUUAAGUCCACUGCCUGGGGAGUACGGUCGCAAGGCUGAAACUUAAAGGAAUUGGCGGGGGAGCACCGCAACGAGAGGAGCGUGCGGUUUAAUUGGAUUCAACGCCGGAAAACUCACCAAAGCCGACUGUUAGAUGAAGACCAGCGUAACGAGCUUGUCGGAUUUUCAGAGAGGUAGUGCAUGGCCGUCGUCAGUUCGUACCGUAAGGCGUUCUGUUAAGUCAGAUAACGAACGAGACCCCCAUCGUCAUUUGCUAACCCUUUCUCCGGAAAGGGCGCACUAUGGCGAGAUCGCUGGUGUGAAACCAGAUGAGAGCGGGGGCAACGGUAGGUCAGUAUGCUCCGAAUGCUUUGGGCUACACGCGCGCUACAAAGGACAGGACAAUGGGUUGCUACCCCGAAAGGCGGACGCUAUCCCGAAACCUGUUCGUAGUUCGGAUCGUGGGCUGUAACUCGCCCUCGUGAAGCUGGAUUUCGUAGUAAUCGCGUCUCAAAAUGGCGCGGUGAAUAUGCCCCUGCUCCUUGCACACACCGCCCGUCAAACCAUCUUAGUUGGGGGCGGGUGAGGCUACCUUUAAUUGGGGUAUUCGAGCCUGCC
rnacentral:rRNA from 1 species